CUCAACCCUCAUCUGCUUUAUGCCCCACAGCUGUCAUUCCAGGAAAGUAGGUUAGAAGGAGAAUGGCAUAUACCGGGUGCCCGGUUGCCGUAAAAAGAUCAAACAGGAAAACAGACGAGGUAAGCCAGAAGUUUGCCACCAACUCCACCUUGACCUUGUUAGGUCCAGUUGUCCCAAAGCUUACAGGCAUUGCUGACCCUUGAUCCACAUGUCAUGGUGGAGUGACUGAGGAGUAAUGAGUCUUGUGCGUCCAUGGUUAUGAUGGCAAAGGACAAAAAGCAAGGGUCAACAACUGAUCCUGGACUGCCACUGGCACCCCCUCAGAAAACAGGCCCAUGUCAUCCCUUGUGCAGUCAGUCCAUAUUGGAGUCCUCAAAUGUCAGACAUUCACAUGACCCUGUAUUGAGGGCAUCUAGCUGAUAAGGACUGACAGUAAGGUUGAUUGAACAACCAGAUUUCUCUCGAGGUAAAAGCAGCUUUCUGCCAACAGCAUCAGAUUUUGCAACUACAUUUGUAACCAUAAUCUGGGUCAUACAUGUAGAAACAUUUUUUGAUAACUUCUACCAAGAAGCUGACUCAGAACUGAAGAAGUAUUGUUGUAUGACUGACAGCCAUUCUCCGUAUUUCAAAGAAUUCAGUUCUUCUGAUGUCUUGAGAGGAAAGAAAAUGAAGUUUGAGGGAAGUCUGAAUCAUUGCAGCGAGGUUUUUGGUUUAGUUGAUUUUAACAAACUGUGAGGGACAAAAAAGUCCUCAGUCAACUUGAACUCCCUGUGCUUUGUAAUGAAACUGAUCAAUCAAUAUUGUGAAAUUUUCUUUAAACUGUGACAUUCAUCACUGUUUUCAAUUCAUUAGGGUUUUAUUAGCUGUUUUUCAGCAUAGGUUCAUUGGAAAAACAUGCCUCUACCUACAUUUUUGCAGAACUUAAAAAAUGUACACUGUAAAAAACAAGCCAGUAAAACAUCAACAACUUUAGUACAUUUCACAAAAAUUAUGAUUAUGGGGCAGAAUAUUAAUUAGUAAAGACUUAUUUUCACACAGUUACUUGCACAACUACUACAUUUUUACAUUUGCAUCACAUAACCAGCUCCAUAUGUAUGACUUUUCUGGACAAAGUAAACUUGCUCGGUAGCUCACCUGGUACAGCAUUGCUUUUACGAUGUUGAGCACUUGGUUCUGUGAAACAUGGCCAGAUUUAUGGUCAUCUGUUUUGAAUUAAUAUGAAUAUCUAUGAAAUGCCACUCACUGGAUAAUUUACUUUGAAAAUGUUGCCAUAUGUGCAACAUAGAAGAGGCAAUGUAAUAUAUUUGUGCAGACAUGUCAUUAAAUUUGAUGCUUUUACCCUAAUUAAGAUCCUAAAUCAUUUUUUAUUUUUUUAUUUUUUGAGAUUUUGACUUCUUAUGUCACUUUUUAGUGUGGUGAAACUAUAGCUACUUUAUUUUAAAGUGUAGCUUGAGUGGAAAAGCGUAGCUCAUGAGUAACUUCUGACAAGCAACAGAAUCUUCCCCAAACACUGGUUCAUGACAAAUCAAACUCAAGAGCUCAGCUUCAGACAUUGUACUGUGGAUGACAGAACAAGAAUUCCCGCUAGCCCUUCAAAUAACAUAAAGGUGUAUGCUAGAUGGAAUAUCAAAAUUGUCAUAAUUUAUUAUGCUCAGAUUUGAAAAGGGAAUAUACUGUAUAAUGUCACUGUUUCCAGGAGCAUAGCCUUGAAGGAUUUCCGCGGGGCAUGAUUUAAUAUUCAUAUCUCUGCUAAUAAAUUAACCUUAUGUGACAUAGAAUGUGUUCGCUCCUUCUCAGAGCUUUAAAUAUGUAUGUGCAUUUCAGGUCUUGUUCAGCUCUUUGGACAAUGUAUUGUGACCUACAUUUUACAGCUCUUCAACUGGUGUUGUAUUUUUACACAAAGACUCCAUGUUUGGGUAGCUCUUCCUUUCUUAGUGUUUUCAUGUCUAUAAAAUGUUUUAGACAAAAUAGGACAUAUGCCACUCUUUUGUAAGCUUUCGGUUGAUUACUUCUUUGAAUAGAUUUUGGCAAGCCUUACCAGAUGAACUGCAAAAUCAUGGCUUAACACACCGAUUUGGCAAACAAUGUUGGCAUCACCAACCAUGAGUAUAAAGGUAUAUAGUUUUACCACAAAUUGAUGAGCCAGGGGUUAUUUGUUGUAAACCAAGAAAUUGAUUAAUGGUCCAAAUGUAAUAUUAUUGAUAUAUUAAUUGUAUUUCUUACUACUACAAGUAGUAUGAUGAUG
ensembl:lncRNA